rnacentral:lncRNA from 1 species
UAUUAUUUUAAACAAAAUAUUAUCUGUCUCAAGAAUAAUAAAAUAUUUUAUUUUGCCUUCAUUUAUUCUUCUCUAAGGCUCAGGCCUCACUUCAAGGCUUUCCAUAAACUACACACCUAAGGUAAACAUCACUAUGUUGGCAUGAUAAUAAGUUAAAUAGAUCAAUAAAAAAAAUAAAUAAUAUAGUGUAGUGGUAUCUCCUUGUUAUUUUAAUUUGCAUUUCCCUGAUUUCACAUAAUGUAGCGCAUCUUCAAUGUUGAAAACUUGAAUCAUUAAUUCUAUAGCUGUAGAUAUUUUAGAAUUUUCUAUGUAAAAAACCAUGUG